GUGGGAAUUAAGCAUAUAAUUAAGCGGAGGAAAAGAAACUAACUAGGAUUCCUCUAGUAAGGGCGACUGAAGCAGGAAGAGCUCACCUUGUGAAUCUGCGCCGCCGGUCGGGUGUCUUGCGACGCCGGGCGGGAGCGCCGAAUUGUGGUCUGUAGAAGCAUCGUCGGCCGCGGUCCCGGGCCAAGUCCCUUGGAACAGGGCAGCUGAGAGGGUGAGACUCCCGUUCUUGCCUGGGAAACGCGCGCCAUGGCAGGUGCCUUCGACGAGUCGAGUUGCUUGGGAUUGCAGCUCAAAGUGGGUGGUAAAUUCCAUCUAAAGCUAAAUAUCGGUGGGAGACCGAUAGCGUACAAGUACCGUGAGGGAAAGAUGCAAAGAACUUUGAAAAGAGAGUUAAAGAGUACCUGAAAUUGCUGAAAGGGAAGCGAAGGAAACCAGUGUCGUGCCGGGCCAUACUUCUCCUGCUGCUUGCGGCAGGGGCGCUGUGGUUGGGCGUGGGUCAGCAUCGGCUUGUACCUCGGGGCAAACGGUCGGCGGGUAGGUAGCCCCUUUGCGGGGUGAAUGCCCGUCGGUUCUGUCCUGGGGGAGGCCGAGGUCAGUCACGUUGGUGCUCGUGAUGCUGACGAAAUGGUUUUCUUUACCCCGUCUUGAAACCGGGAACC
rnacentral:rRNA from 1 species